UACGGAGGGGGCAAGCGUUGUCCGGACUUACUGGGCGUAAAGGGUGCGUAGGCGGGUCUUUAAGUCAGGGGGGAAAUCCUGGAGCUCAACUCCAGAACUGCCUUUGAUACUGAGGAUCUUGAGUUCGGGAGAGGUGAGUGGAACUGCGAGUGUAGAGGUGAAAUUCGUAGAUAUUCGCAAGAACACCAGUGGCGAAGGCGGCUCACUGGCCCGAUACUGACGCUGAGGCACGAAAGCGUGGGGAGCAAACAGG
rnacentral:rRNA from 1 species